UUGGUGUUCUUGUGCAAGCACACAAGUACACCAGAAUAAUGCAGGCAACUGUAAGAAUAAAAAGUGCUUCCAUUCCAGAGGGAAGCUUCUCACCCCCUGGCACCACCCCCAGUGAGACUGCAAAAUGUGUUUUGACACUAAUGCUCCAUUACAGUAACUGGAGUUUCCCACUGUGCAAGAACACCAGGAAAAUAUUUUACUAGUGUUUCUGCUUCUCCUAGAAGAUCAUUGAGGUUGGGGAAAAACCAGCUGGAUCUGCAAUAGAAGUUUGCAGGGGUGGAAGAUGGAGGAAAGGAGGAGUUGGUCAAGAGAAAUGCUUGAUUUUGCCCUCUACCCUCACCCCUCUACUGAUAAAUAACAACAAGAUUAACAUUUUGAAAAUAAAGAAAUGCUUUACUACACUGUAGGGAGUUUUGCGCAAACUAGAAAAGACUGCUCCCCUGUUGGUGGCGUUGCACAACACCCUUUCAUGUCAAUUUGAUCCCGCCAAGCCGAAGCAUUUUAUGACAGCUGUAUCCUGUAGUCUGGAAAGUGCCAUGCUGUCCUAACUUGUGUUUGGAUUCAUGCAUGAAUGACACCAAGGAAGAUGUGUCCGUCUACUGGACUGCUAUAAAGAAAAAUAACCCCAGGAGGUACCUUCGCAGUGCAGAAGUUAGAGAGACUGUGGAGCUCAACAUGGUUGAAGGAGAAAAGGGAGCAGACCCUACCAAUGUUAUGGGUCCUGGUGGCGUUCCAGUGACAGGUGGUAAAUAUGCAGCAGACUGUAUCCAGUACCAAUGGAAUCAGUGGCACAGAGGCCUUUCACACAACUACCAGCAAAACUACCAAAAUAGCAAGACUGGGGAGAAGAACAAGAGCUCAGAGAGCUUGCAGGAAGACCAUGGAAUUUCAUCAACACCUGGUGUUUGUUCGUCACAUUUCAUAGAACUAUGGAAAAAAGCAAGGUGUACCCAUCGCUAAUCCUAUGUGCAGCAGCUCUCGUGAGAGUUUGUGAGCAAGUUGCCAGCAGGGGAAGAGGAAUGCGCCGCUGGCGGAGCAGUAUCAAAUCUCUCUACAUAUGGUACCACACCUUUGCCAAGAUACCACCUACUACAAGGGAGGAAAUUCAUUAGAGUGAUUAGGUAUCUAGAGGUAAUCUACGUAAUCUGUGGCUUCAAGGAGAAUGUAGUUAUCACAUUGUUACUGUCAGGGUCUGGCCAACUGCCAGGGAAGAUCACGGGACAAAACGGAGCUGCUGCAACUGGAUACGGCUCGGAAAGUUUGUCUUGACCAGACUUGGCUGCACGCUGUCGACACAGAGGUUGACAAAUGUUGCUUUUCAGCAGUGAGUAGAAAGCUGGUGAUGUAAUUUAUAGUGCAAGCCGAGAGCUCUCAGCUGGCAGGAAUUCAAGGCUUAUCAGCCCUCUGCAAGAGGCGUUUGCGCCUCCUAAUAGUCUCUAAUUGAGUCCUGCUUCUCGUGACACGCCGCUGUUGUGGAGUCAGUGGAGGUUGGUUUCAUAGCUCCUCUUUGGAUUGGUCCUUCGCGAUUUCUGCUGUCUCGGGUUGUUGUGCCUGCUCUGAAUCAUUAGCUGGAUCUACCACAGCCGUUUCAUGAACACUGACAGCCGGGGUCUGCCCCUCAGACACUCCUGCAUCGGCUGGAAAGUUGACAGCUUCCCCUUCCUCCUCGCUGUCUGAGAUCGAGGGCGUGACAGUUAUCACAUUGUCACAUUGUUAUCACAAUGGAUAUUGGUGUGGUGAACCAUCAUAGUGUAAGAGAAACUUUACUACCGGUAUUACUUGGUUAUGAUGAAUUCUGGACUGCAGGUAUUGCUGAUAUUCUCCUCUUUUUUGAAGUCUUAAAUGAGUGUGUAUAUGUGUAUAUAGUGAACACACACAAGCACACACACAUGGUUUGGUUGUUAUGAAAUGCAGGGGAACAAGAAGUGAAAAUUCUUCAUGCUUCACACUUAUCUACAGUCAUACUUAUACUACACUUUUCUAUGACUCCAUUCACACAUGUUCAGUGUGCACAGAGAUGCAUCUAGCUAAUUUUGGAACCUGGGUCUAAAUGGCUAAUCCCCUCACCCCGCCGCAAGAUAAGCAUCCUUCCAUAUACAUUACACACACACACACAUGGCUAAUUUCUUUUUUGAAGACCCACUUCGAUGUGCACAUUUAGCCAUGGUGAAAGCACCUGCAGAAUAAACAAAGUGUAGCAAGCAAGGUCUCAGAGGACAUUUCUUUCCUGCUUUCCCACCAGCUACAUAGUCUUUAGAGCACCUUAUAACAGAUCAUUAAAUAAGCAGAUAACGAUGAAAAUCAAUGAUGUAUGAAGCCAUGCUAGCUGAGGAUAACAAGAACUUAUAAUUCCCUUAUGUCUGUAGCCUUUUGUUAUGCUGUAAGCCAAACAUCAUUGUGGCCUUGAAACGUAUAUCACAUACCAUUAUAUCAUUGUAUAAUACCUUUAAAUGACAGCACAGGCACCAUGAAUAUUGCAGUCCCCAAGUUUUUCUGAAAACAGAGCCAUUUGUUUGUUUGUUUGUCAAACUUGUAUGCCGCCCCAAACUUCCAUCUCUGGGUGGCUCACAACAACAUUUACCAUCAUUGUUUCAGCCAGUAUUUAAAUAGAAGUGACGAACACAGAUUCAAUACAGCUGCUUAAAUUAGCU